CUUUUACACAGAUAGAGGUCUCGCCUGCCCUGUGACUAUAUGUUCAACGGCCGCGGUAUUUUGACCGUGCAAAGGUAGCGCAAUCACUUGUCCUUUAAAUGAGGACCGGUAUGAAUGGCACGACGAGGGCUUAACUGUCUCCUUUUUCAAGUCAAUGAAAUUGAUCUCCCCGUGCAGAAGCGGGGAUUAGAACAUAAGACGAGAAGACCCUAUGGAGCUUUAGACGCAAAGCAGAUCACGUCAAGCACCCUUAAACAAAAGAACAAACUAAAUGAAAGCCUGCCUAGAUGUCUUUGGUUGGGGCGACCGCGGGGCAAUACAAAACCCCCAUGUGGAAUGAAAACAUUCUUUUAAAAAUAAGAGCCACUGCUCUAAUAAACAGAACAUCUGACCAACCAGAUCCGGCCAAGCCGAUCAACGAACCAAGUUACCCUAGGGAUAACAGCGCAAUCCCCUUUUAGAGUCCAUAUCGACAAGGGGGUUUACGACCUCGAUGUUGGAUCAGGACAUCCUAAUGGUGCAGCCGCUAUUAAGGGUUCGUUGUCAACGUUAUC
rnacentral:rRNA from 1 species